GAUCAUGGCUCAGGAUGAACGCUAGCUACAGGCUUAACACAUGCAAGUCGAGGGGAAACGACAUCGAAAGCUUGCUUUUGAUGGGCGUCGACCGGCGCACGGGUGAGUAACGCGUAUCCAACCUGCCCAUCACUUGGGGAUAACCUUGCGAAAGUAAGACUAAUACCCAAUGAUAUCUCUAGAAGACAUCUGAAAGGGAUUAAAGAUUUAUCGGUGAUGGAUGGGGAUGCGU
rnacentral:rRNA from 1 species